UACGAAGGGUGCAAGCGUUACUCGGAAUUACUGGGCGUAAAGCGUGCGUAGGUGGUGAGUCAAGUCUGUCGUGAAAGCCCCGGGCUCAACCUGGGAAUGGCGAUGGAUACUGGCUCGCUAGAGUGCGGUAGAGGAGAGUGGAAUUCCCGGUGUAGCAGUGAAAUGCGUAGAGAUCGGGAGGAACAUCAGUUGCGAAGGCGGCUCUCUGGACCAGCACUGACACUGAGGCACGAAAGCGUGGGGAGCAAACAGG
rnacentral:rRNA from 1 species